rnacentral:rRNA from 1 species
CGCGAUACAGGGUGACAGCCCCGUACACAAAAAUGCACAUGCUGUGAGCUCGAUGAGUAGGGCGGGACACGUGGUAUCCUGUCUGAAUAUGGGGGGACCAUCCUCCAAGGCUAAAUACUCCUGACUGACCGAUAGUGAACCAGUACCGUGAGGGAAAGGCGAAAAGAACCCCGGCGAGGGGAGUGAAAAAGAACCUGAAACCGUGUACGUACAAGCAGUGGGAGCACAGAGCAAUCUGUGUGACUGCGUACCUUUUGUAUAAUGGGUCAGCGACUUAUAUUCUGUAGCAAGGUUAACCGAAUAGGGGAGCCGAAGGGAAACCGAGUCUUAACCGGGCGUUAAGUUGCAGGGUAUAGACCCGAAACCCGGUGAUCUAGCCAUGGGCAGGUUGAAGGUUGGGUAACACUAACUGGAGGACCGAACCGACUAAUGUUGAAAAAUUAGCGGAUGACUUGUGGCUGGGGGUGAAAGGCCAAUCAAACCGGGAGAUAGCUGGUUCUCCCCGAAAGCUAUUUAGGUAGCGCCUCGUGAAUUCAUCUCCGGGGGUAGAGCACUGUUUCGGCAAGGGGGUCAUCCCGACUUACCAACCCGAUGCAAACUGCGAAUACCGGAGAAUGUUAUCACGGGAGACACACGGCGGGUGCUAACGUCCGUCGUGAAGAGGGAAACAACCCAGACCGCCAGCUAAGGUCCCAAAGUCAUGGUUAAGUGGGAAACGAUGUGGGAAGGCCCAGACAGCCAGGAUGUUGGCUUAGAAGCAGCCAUCAUUUAAAGAAAGCGUAAUAGCUCACUGGUCGAGUCGGCCUGCGCGGAAGAUGUAACGGGGCUAAACCAUGCACCGAAGCUGCGGCAGCGACACUGUGUGUUGUUGGGUAGGGGAGCGUUCUGUAAGCCUGUGAAGGUGUGCUGUGAGGCAUGCUGGAGGUAUCAGAAGUGCGAAUGCUGACAUAAGUAACGAUAAAGCGGGUGAAAAGCCCGCUCGCCGGAAGACCAAGGGUUCCUGUCCAACGUUAAUCGGGGCAGGGUGAGUCGACCCCUAAGGCGAGGCCGAAAGGCGUAGUCGAUGGGAAACAGGUUAAUAUUCCUGUACUUGGUGUUACUGCGAAGGGGGGACGGAGAAGGCUAUGUUGGCCGGGCGACGGUUGUCCCGGUUUAAGCGUGUAGGCUGGUUUUCCAGGCAAAUCCGGAAAAUCAAGGCUGAGGCGUGAUGACGAGGCACUACGGUGCUGAAGCAACAAAUGCCCUGCUUCCAGGAAAAGCCUCUAAGCAUCAGGUAACAUCAAAUCGUACCCCAAACCGACACAGGUGGUCAGGUAGAGAAUACCAAGGCGCUUGAGAGAACUCGGGUGAAGGAACUAGGCAAAAUGGUGCCGUAACUUCGGGAGAAGGCACGCUGAUAUGUAGGUGAAGUCCCUCGCGGAUGGAGCUGAAAUCAGUCGAAGAUACCAGCUGGCUGCAACUGUUUAUUAAAAACACAGCACUGUGCAAACACGAAAGUGGACGUAUACGGUGUGACGCCUGCCCGGUGCCGGAAGGUUAAUUGAUGGGGUCAGCGCAAGCGAAGCUCUUGAUCGAAGCCCCGGUAAACGGCGGCCGUAACUAUAACGGUCCUAAGGUAGCGAAAUUCCUUGUCGGGUAAGUUCCGACCUGCACGAAUGGCGUAAUGAUGGCCAGGCUGUCUCCACCCGAGACUCAGUGAAAUUGAACUCGCUGUGAAGAUGCAGUGUACCCGCGGCAAGACGGAAAGACCCCGUGAACCUUUACUAUAGCUUGACACUGAACAUUGAGCCUUGAUGUGUAGGAUAGGUGGGAGGCUUUGAAGUGUGGACGCCAGUCUGCAUGGAGCCGACCUUGAAAUACCACCCUUUAAUGUUUGAUGUUCUAACGUGGACCCGUGAUCCGGGUUGCGGACAGUGUCUGGUGGGUAGUUUGACUGGGGCGGUCUCCUCCUAAAGAGUAACGGAGGAGCACGAAGGUUGGCUAAUCCUGGUCGGACAUCAGGAGGUUAGUGCAAUGGCAUAAGCCAGCUUGACUGCGAGCGUGACGGCGCGAGCAGGUGCGAAAGCAGGUCAUAGUGAUCCGGUGGUUCUGAAUGGAAGGGCCAUCGCUCAACGGAUAAAAGGUACUCCGGGGAUAACAGGCUGAUACCGCCCAAGAGUUCAUAUCGACGGCGGUGUUUGGCACCUCGAUGUCGGCUCAUCACAUCCUGGGGCUGAAGUAGGUCCCAAGGGUAUGGCUGUUCGCCAUUUAAAGUGGUACGCGAGCUGGGUUUAGAACGUCGUGAGACAGUUCGGUCCCUAUCUGCCGUGGGCGCUGGAGAACUGAGGGGGGCUGCUCCUAGUACGAGAGGACCGGAGUGGACGCAUCACUGGUGUUCGGGUUGUCAUGCCAAUGGCACUGCCCGGUAGCUAAAUGCGGAAGAGAUAAGUGCUGAAAGCAUCUAAGCACGAAACUUGCCCCGAGAUGAGUUCUCCCUGACCCUUUAAGGGUCCUGAAGGAACGUUGAAGACGACGACGUUGAUAGGCCGGGUGUGUAAGCGCAGCGAUGCGUUGAGCUAACCGGUACUAAUGAACCGUGAGGCUUAACCUUACAACGCCGAAGGUGUUU